GUGGAGGCAAGCAUAUCUUGCUGGGGCAAUCUGCCUACCUGAGGCCUUCUAUGGGAAUUCACCCACCUCACGUAUUGGAGUCGGAAUGAGAUUCUGUUGGGAGAACCUGGCAGGACAUUCAGAGACAGAUGAGUCUGGAGAGGAGAACAAGAAGGCUGGAACAGAAGUGUUGAAACACCCACAGAGCCGGCGGGACAUUCCAGUUGGUCCCCAGAAUUCUUCUGGCGUCCAGAGUCUGGAAGUUCAUUGAGACUGUAUGGGCUUUCUGGAAAUCCACCCAGAACAUUUACAUGUGAACAGAAAAGAGUUUGCUUUGUGCUUAAUCAUGGGUUGUCUUCCUCUUCCUUCUUUUAUUGUUUCCUCGCUGGGUUUUGUCUUCCACUGACUGAAUUGAAUAGCAGAACUCGAAUUGGCUUAAGUGGGACAAGAUCAGUGCCCAUGUCAGGAGGAUUUAUUAUGAGGGGGUGAAGAUAAUCUGGCAUUUGGUGUCUUCUGUAAUGAUAGCAUGAUAUUUUCAGGAUUGUAUUUACCUGUGGGUUUUGUCUGAGGUUAUGAAACUACUCUCUGGUAAUGCUUUCCCCAGUAGAUAUGAAAUCACAUACAGGCUCUGUAUUUUGUAGUCUGGUGAUAUUGGAGUGUCAAUAAACAUUAGAACCUAUUCCAUUCUAAGCACUGGACUGUGCAAUAGCUGGUCAUUAAUUAAACAUGAGUGUGAGGUUUGUCCUCAUGAAG
ensembl:lncRNA